rnacentral:tRNA from 1 species
CCUGCUGUAGCUCAGUUGGCUCAGAGCGCUGGAUUGUGGCUCCAGAGGUCAAGGGUUCGAAUCCCUUCGGCAGGA